AGCUUUGAUCUCUUUGCCGGGACUCUGCCCACCACUCCAUUUUCACUGGACUACUUCUAAUGUCCCCAACUCCAGAGAAGCCUUCAACAGCUGCCUGGCAUAAUAAGCUUCUUUUAAUACAGUUUAGCAGCUGGAAACAAGAAAGAGAAACCAGCACCAUAUGACCAACCAGCUGUCCAGGGACUGCCAGCACCCUGUUCUCGGAGGGAAAGGAAGAGAAAAUGAAACCUACAGGAACUCUAAUUCUGAUUACAGGAACAUCAUGGAAAGUACAGGUUGUAACUGAUGAUGUAUUGAAAGAACUAUGGUGACUAG